UAGGUGGGACUUACUUUGUCUCUUUAAACACAAAAGAUACUCAAAGGCAAUCAUUGUGCUUCUUAUUCAUAUACUGAACAGACUGCACAGAGACUGUAGAACUGCCAUUCACACCACAAACACUAUUAGAACUGGAUCACCAUGCAGAACCAACUGGCCAUUCUCUUCUUGCACAUCAUGUGUUUCUAUUAUGUGAACUGCCAAGAAGUUACCCAAGUCCCUCAUUCAGCUCGUGCAGUGGAAGGCAGCAGAUUUAAUAUGACAUGUGAAUAUAAAUCCAAUUUAUACACUCUCCAGUGGUACAAGCAGGUGCCUGGGAAGAUGUUUCAGUUUCUGAGAAUCCAAAGGGUGGACGAGGAGAUUACAGAAGACAGAUUUGUAUUCCGUCUGCAGAAAGAGAAGCAGCUCAGCACCCUGUCUAUCAAACAGGUGGAAGUGUCAGACUCAGCCACAUAUUGGUGUGCUCUGGAGGCACAGUGCUAG